CAUACACACUAAGACCAUUUACUAUGACAUUGUUAGUCAGAGCUAACAAUGUCGAUCCUUCUUCCCCUGAUCAGAAAGCCUGUCGGGUCACCACCGUCAUCCCAUAUAAUAUGGGACACAUCAUGUUCCAAUACUGGAUCGUCCCGAUUUAUAAGGGACAGGUAGCAACCCUACACAUGAGGCAGUUGGUGUGAAGAUCGCGUAGCAGACAUGCACCACUUCCACCUGGGUUUGCCACGCAGGCCACUCUGCUCCCUCUAAACGUGCUCACCAGCAGACCAAGGCACCCCAAAGGUUCCUACCCUGCUAGCAUGCCCGCUUUAGUUCUGCCUUAAUUCAUUUUCCCUCUUUUUUCCUUUUUUCCCCUUUUGGGAGAGAUUCUGCCUUCACUUCUCCCUGCCUGGCUGUGGUUACACAGCUAAUAAAGAACUUUGUGUUGUGUACCCUGCCAUUGCUCUCUCCAGUCCCUGGAUUAUGCUUGCACCCCACCAUAAUAAUUUAAUGAAAAUUAAACCAAAUCCAUUAUUAGAUAAUAAGUGUAAUUUCUUCCUGUAAAUCUUCUACUAACUAAGGAGAUUGCACCACUGAUUAGCACUACCCCAUUAAACUUGUCUCUUAAGCUUGGAUAUGUUCCAAAACCUUUUAAAAUAGUUGUUAUUAGACCUAUUCUUAAGAACCCAAAUCUUGAACUUAGUGAUUUAGUAAAUUAUAGACCGAUCUCAAAUCUUGCUUUCAUUUCAAAGAUCCUGGAAAGGAGUUGUUGUUCAUCCGCUGUCUUCUUUCCUACAGAAAAAUGAAGCUGAUAAAUUAUAUCAGACUGGCUUUAGAUCAAAUCAUAGCACAGAAACAACCUUAGUCAAAGUAAUGAAUGAUUUGCUUAUGGCUUCCGAUCAUGGCUGUAUAUCUUUGUUGGUGUUACAAGAUCUAACACUGCAGCAUUUGGUACUGUGGCCCACAAUAUUCUCUUGGGCCGGCUGGAAUCUGUGGCUGGCAUUAAGGGGACAGCUCUCUCUUGGUUUCGCUCUUAUUUAACUGAUCAUUAUCAGUUUGUCCAUGUGAAUGAUGAAUCUUCCAAGUCCACUAAAGUCAAAUAUGGUGUCCCACAUGGAUCAGUGCUGGGCCCGCUACUGUUCACUUUAUGCAUGCUACCACUUGGUAACAUUAUUAGAAAUCAUGGUGUUGGGUUCCAUGGUUAUACUGAUGAUACACAGAUAUACAUAUCUGUUAAACUAGAUAAUGCAUUCCAGCUCCCUAGCUUAGAAAGUUGUGUACUAAACAUACGGUGUUGAGAGAGAGGGGUAAGGAGCAUGCACUGAUCACAGUGCGUUGCCGGACUCACCACAUGACAAACCACCUUACAGAUGUGAACCUCAUUGCAGCCAUGUGGCGGGUGAUACCUCAGCACCAUACUAGUCUGAAUGGAAUGGAAUACGGUAUUGGAUGGCAAAAAAAAAUCCUUGUGUUAAACACAGAAAAAAUUGAAAUACUUCUAGUUGGUCCUAAGCCAACCUUUUAGGUCUCACACACUUAUUUCAACCAGUUCACACACUCACAUGCCACACCUUAUAUUUCUCACACUGCGAAGGGAUAACGCCCAUGAAGGUGUAUCAUUAUAUAGAAUUAAUGGACAAGUUACAGGCAUACAGAGUGGAGUUUUCCACCGAGUCCAUAGCUCUCCCGAGUUAUACAGAGUUAAUAGCCACCUACCAGCCAGAAAAUAGCAUUUGUUUCUGGGCAAAUUCCAAAAUAAGUUACACGUGAUCCCGCUGCAAGAAUGUUAUUACAUGGAUGUGCAUACAAGUGCAGACAAGGCUGAAGUGGAAGAGCAAGAUCAGAUGAACGCAGUAGGCAGGGCUCACAAGUCUCACCCAUUGCAUGGACCAUGAGACACAUGCUCCGACCCUAACAGAUGUAAUCUCACUCCAAACUUUUGAGGAAACUUGAGAGUCCUGGUCCUAAGUCUGCUCAAAAUAGUUUGACAACCUCAACCUUGGUGCAGGGUACUCACGGUCAUGGAAAACCUGGAAAAGUUUUGGAAUUUUUAAAUAAUUUUUCCAGGACCUGGAUAAGUUUUGGAAUUCUUGGAUACAGAAGAAACGUUUUGGAAAUUAGCCUUUUUCAUUAUGUAACGGAAAUGUUUCAUUUCAUAACAGAAAUGUACUAGCUGAAGUCAUUAGUUAACUAUCUUGGUAAACAUCCUUUUCCGGCACUUUUACCGUUAAAAGCGUAUUUGAGAUCGCUGCUUUUUUGCUCGCUAUUCCAGUUUUUAUUGUUUUAUUUAUUUAGUUUUUUGCACGUAUUUGAAUUUUAUUGAUCACAGUGUCUUGAUUUUGACUCCGUUUGCCUCUACCAAUCAUAAGAAAUGUCCUUUCCUUGCAUGGAACUGAAUCGUCCAGAGUUGUUUGAUUUUCACGGUGUGUCUAUGACUCACUACUUCACUGAUAGCUGGGACAAAGUGCAGAAUUUCAAGGCCAGACCUGAUGACAUUGUGAUCGCAACCUAUGCUAAAGCAGGUACAACCUGGGUUUCCCAGAUUUUGGACCUGCUGUACUUUGGAAAGUCUGAUCCUGGCCGCCAGACCUCCAUUCCUAUAUAUGAAAGAGUUCCUUUCCUAGAGAUUCGCAUCCGAAAUGUACCUACAGGAGAGACAGCAAUCAGAAAAAAGUUGUAAAAGCAUCUUCAAAAUGAAAAAUAGGUUAAUGGAACAGGAUUUUGCCUGCUUCAAAGUAGAAUAUAUGCUGAAGUCUGACUUCGUCAAACGCUGACGCACAUGUUCUUCGCUGUUAUUUUAUUGCAUGCAGAUCAUGUAACUAUGGGAAAAUUGAUUUCAACUGGAAUUUCCAAUGAUUCCUAAAAUAAGCAUGAUAUACACAGAUUAGCCAAAACAGUAGGACCACCCCCCCAUGUGAAGCGUGUCAAGUUCUGGAACAAGGUUUGCAACAGAAAAUGGGAUUCAUCUGACUAGAUAACCUUCUCCCAUUGCUCCAAGGUUCAGUUCCAACUCUUGCACGCCCAUUGUAGGAGCUUUUGACAGUCGACAGGGGUCAGAAUGGGCACUGACUGGCUUACAGCUACAUAGCCCCAUACACUGCAUAUGAUGCCUUGUGUGUCUUGACACAGUACUCCCAUGAUCAUCAUCAAAAUUGUCUGCCAUUUGUGCCACAGUAGUCCUUCUGUUGGUUUAUACUGCAUGGGACAGCCUUCAUUCACAUCUGAGUCUUGGCCGCCCAACACCCCGUCGGUGGUUCAUGAUUCUUUCCCUUCUUAGACCACUCUCAAUAGGCACUCACCAUGGCUGGCCGUGAGCAUCCCACAAGCCUGGCUGUUUCUGAGAUACUCUGGCCCAGUCCUAUGAACACAAUGGCUUGGCCCUUGUCAAAGUCACUUAGAUCUUCAUCCCUGCCCAUUUCAUCAAGAAGUUGACUACAAGUACCAAAUGUUAGCUUGUGUCAUCAGAUCACUGGUUUGAGCUCCAGCCUCGGCAGAAUAGUCACAUGUCCUUGGGCCCUUGGGUCCUUGGGCGAGGCCCUUAAUCCCCAACUCCAGGGGUGCUACACAUUUGCUGCCCCUGUGCUAUUACCAUUAUACUGGCCCAGUUAUCUGCAAAGGUUUCAGGAGGGAAAAGGUGAGUAGAUAUGGGGGAAAUUAUGAGCAGGAUUGUGCAGGACCGUGUAGAGUGAGUGA